UUUCCGUAGGUGAACCUGCGGAAGGAUCAUUCAUAAUAAAGUGUUUUAUGGCACUUUUUAAAAAUCCAUAUCCACCUUGUGUGCAAUGUUAGAUCUCGUCAAUCUUGGCGAGAUUUUUAUACAUCAACUCAUUCUUUAACUAAUUUGUCUGAAAAAUAUUAUGAAUACUUAAUUCAAAAUACAACUUUCAACAACGGAUCUCUUGGCUCUCGCAUCGAUGAAGAAGGCAGC
rnacentral:misc_RNA from 1 species